rnacentral:rRNA from 1 species
GUCGAGAAUCUUCCGCAAUGCGCGAAAGCGUGACGGAGCGACACCGCGUGAUGGAUGAAGUCCUUCGGGGCGUAAACAUCUUUUAUAAAGGAGGAAAUUUUUGACGUUACUUUAUGAAUAAGGGGCUCCCAAUCUCGUGCCAGCAGGAGCGGUAAUACGAGAGCCUCAAGCGUUAUCCGGAAUCAUUGGGCGUAAAGGGUGCGUAGGUGGUUUGAUUAGUCUCCCGUUAAAACUUCGAGCUUAACUCGAAAAGAGCGGGGGAAACGGUCAAACUAGAGUAUGUGAGAGGUGUGUGGAACUCAUGGUGUAGGGGUGAAAUCCGUUGAUAUCAUGGGGAACACCAAAAGCGAAGGCAGCACACUGGCACAUCACUGACACUGAGGCACGAAACCUAAGGUAGCGAAUGGGAUUAGAAACCCUGGUAGUCC